GUCCCACUGUUGUCCACAUCAGCCUGAAAUUUACAAUACAUAGCUCAGCUGAUUGAACCCAAUGUAACAAACAUGCGUGUAGUUGUUCUUAUAAUAACAACAAUAAAAAAAACUGCAUAUAUUAUUGCCAGUCUUGCACCAAAGCAUAAACAAAAUCACAGCAACUAGACUGAAAAAAGAAUCCAGACCAUUCUUUUAUUUUUGAAGUAUAAAUAUCCUACGCAUGAACUCUGAUAUUGAAGAGGGUAACAAAAAGGCUCUUCAACUUAAAAGUUGUAUGCAAAGAUAGAACGGAAAUGGAUAGACGAAAAUGUGAUUGAAACAAACUAAAAACAAGAUGGAGUACGUACGUGGAACCUUGCAACGGAGCCGCGAACUCAUAAAAAUUCUAUAGCAUAUCAAACUAUGCACAACAGAGGAAAGAUGCAAUACAAAAUCAAAGCAAGGGAAGCCAUUCAAGUUAUGAAUGUGAAUCUAUUCUUUUUUUUUUCUAAUUACAUACAACCUUUAUUUUAUUUUUUUCUUUCUUGAAGUGUGCUCUCUUUCCCUUCCAGAUCUUUGUUUGAAUGUUACGCGCUUGUUUAAUUGAUUAUUCUCCAUUUUCUGUUUUUAUCAGGAUACAAAAUUACAAAUGUAGUUCUCUCAAAUUAAAAUUUGCUUUUUAUGAUCAAAUUCAAGAGAUUCUGUUAAUCAAUUAAUCUAUACAAUAUAAUGGGAUGAAGGUGUUGAUCACUUCUGAUCUCUGAACGAAGUAACAAAACAUUAUCCUAAGCAUUGUCCCUCUAUAAAAAAUUCAUAAUUUUCAUUUUCUUUUAGGAUAAAUAAAAAGAAAAGUUGAAUUUUUUAUUACUUGUGAACUUCUGAGACAUUCAAAUUAAAAAAUUUCCAUCCUCAAAUGAUUCUCUUAUACCUCUGUCGGAGUAGCAAGCAUCUUAUUCAUGUAAACUUUAAUCAUUAUUUUUGAGAUUAAACCAUUUAAGUUAACAUUCACACUCUAACAAAAUUUGUGCACGCAAUACUGAUAUGAACUUGAUAGAAUAGUCUACUCCAGUUUACGUAAAACUUUCUUUGCUUAUCAUGCAUAUGCACUUUAUUUUUAUUUUUUUUUUUCACUCAAAAGAUGAUAAAUGGUAUCUUUUUUUCCCCCUGUCCAAACGUGCACACCCCACCAGAUAAACAAAUAUCUGCUUUGACAAACAUCUUACUGCAUCCAUAAGAUCACGUAUUUCUGUAUCCUUCAAGGUAGAGCCAUAUCUUCUCAAACCAGCUUUUAGUUCAUCAAAAGUGAUUGCACCACUGUUAUCAGUA
rnacentral:misc_RNA from 1 species